GUCUUCUUGGCUUAGUUGGUUAAAGCGUCGGUCUCAUAAAGCUCUGUUUAUGAUCAGUUUGGUAACAAUCUGGCAAUCCGAAGGUCGUGAGUUCGACCCUCACAGAGGACA
rfam:Glarea lozoyensis ATCC 20868 chromosome Tnknown GLAREA3, whole genome shotgun sequence.